CCUACGUGGGGCAGCAGUGGGGGAUAUUGCACAAUGGGGGAAACCCUGAUGCAGCGACGCCGCGUGUGGGAAGACGGUCCUCUGGAUUGUAAACCACUGUGCCCAGGGACGAAGAUGACGGUACCUGGGGAGGAAGCUCCGGCUAACUACGUGCCAGCAGCCGCGGUAAUACGUAGGGAGCGAGCGUUGUCCGGAAUUACUGGGUGUAAAGGGAGCGUAGGCGGGGAUGCAAGUUGGGUGUAAAAACUAGCGGCUCAACUGGUAGUCGCACUCAAAACUGGAGCUCUUGAGUGAAGUAGGGGCAGGCGGAAUUCCUAGUGUAGCGGUGAAAUGCGUAGAUAUUAGGAGGAACACCAGUGGCGAAGGCGGCCUGCUGGGCUUUUACUGACGCUGAGGCUCGAAAGUGUGGGGAGCAAACAGGAUUAGAUACCCUGGUAGUC
rnacentral:rRNA from 1 species